CCGGCUGAUAAGGACACUGGGAGGGCAGGACUGACCGGGAAAGGGCCCCCAGCACCCAUCAGGGCUCAGGCAGGGCCGGUGGCUGAGGGCGUGGGGAGGAGGGAGGGAGACGCAGCCACACCCCCAGGGGCUCCCGGGGCGCUCCAGCUCCUUCCGCACACCCUGAAUUCAGGAAGGUCUCAGGCACCAGACAGUCCUGGGUUCAAGGCCUGGUUCUAUCCGUUAGCAGUGGGGGCCUUUCCCUGGUGGGCCUCAGUGUCCUCCUCUGUGAAAUGGGGACACCGGACACCCACCCCCGGCACCGAGGGUCAGCGGUCGAGGGGUGGUCUUGCCGCUGUUGAAGGAGCACAUGGGGCAGCCGGGGCUGGGAGGGCGUGCAAAGGCCCGGGGGCUGGGGAGCCUGGUCCUUUGAGGAGUCCCCCUGAGUUCCUUCCUUGUGGACUCCCCCACAGUCAUGGGCACCUCACUCAGACCCCUCAGCCCCCCGCCAGGGACCCUUCCCAUCAGCCAGGGACCAGAGGCCCUGCCCCCAGGGGAGCCCACUCAGUGGCGGCUGCAGCCAGGGCCCGGAGCAGGCGCCGUGAUAAAGCAUCUUCCGGAAAAACAGCCCUUGCUCCUCAGCCCCUCCCACGCAUCAGAACAGGUAGGCGCAGGGGGUCCGUGCAGCCUGGAAUGGGGUGCUGGUCCCCCUCUUCCGUCUGCUGCAGCCACACGGCAAGCAGACCCCGGGCGCCCGCCAGAAGCAGGGCCACGGGGAGCCAGGAUCUGCCCACAGCCUGCAGGUCUUGUGAUGCAAGCGUGGUAUUAAUAACGCUGGCGGCGCCCAGAGCCGGCUCUGCCAGGUCCUGGGGCCUUCCUCCCCCCGCCCCGGCCCCCAGCACAGACAAUUCCCGCAGGGGCGAGCCCUCCCCACCGCUGCACAGGCCCGGGCAAGCCUCACUGAGCUGCAAGGGACCCAGGAGGAAGGGCCCGGCCCGAAGCAGGGGAGGGGCGCUCAGGUGGCCACAGCUCGGGCUCCGCUGUCUGACUUGGUCACUCUGA
rnacentral:lncRNA from 1 species